rnacentral:rRNA from 1 species
AACGAACGCUGGCGGCAGGCUUAACACAUGCAAGUCGAGCGCCUCGCAAGAGGAGCGGCAGACGGGUGAGUACCGCGUGGGAACGUACCCUUAUCUUCGGAAUAGCUCUGGGAAACUGGAAGUAAUACCGAAUGUGCCCUUAGGGGGAAAGAUUUAUCGGAUAAGGAUCGGCCCGCGUUGGAUUAGCUAGUUGGUGGGGUAAAGGCCUACCAAGGCGACGAUCCAUAGCUGGUCUGAGAGGAUGAUCAGCCACAUUGGGACUGAGACACGGCCCAAACUCCUACGGGAAGCAGCAGUGGGGAAUAUUGGACAAUGGGCGCAAGCCUGAUCCAGCCAUGCCGCGUGAGUGAUGAAGGCCUUAGGGUUGUAAAGCUCUUUCACCGGAGAAGAUAAUGACGGUAUCCGGAGAAGAAGCCCCGGCUAACUUCGUG